rnacentral:pre_miRNA from 1 species
UAGGUACUCCCUCCGUCCGGAAUUACUUGUCAUCAAAAUGGAUGAAAAUGGAUGUAUCUAGAACUAAAAUACAUCUAGAUACAUCCAUUUCAAUGACAAGUAUUUUCGGACGGAGGGAGUAUAAC